UAGGGGGAGGUUGGCUGCAUCACUGGUACUGAGGUAAUGGCUGUCCCCAGUACCAGACAUGCCGCCCACCUGCCCAUACA
rnacentral:pre_miRNA from 2 species